CCAAUAGCGUAUAUUAAGGUUGCUGCGGUUAAAAAGCUCGUAGUUGAAUUUCGGGAUUGAUGCAUCGGUCGUGCCUUAAGGGGUAUGAGCUGGUGUGGUCAAUUUCUUACCUUCUGGUGAAUUGUGAUGUCCUUCUUAAUUGGGUGUUUCAAUGAACUAGGACUUUUUACUUUGAAAAAAUUAGAGUGUUUAAAGCAGGCAUUAUUUGCUUGAAUACAUUAGCAUGGAAUAAUAAAAUAGGACAAUGAUUCUAUUUUGUUGGUUUCUAGGAUCACUGUAAUGAUUAAUAGGGAUAGUUGGGGGCAUUAGUAUUCAAUUGUCAGAGGUGAAAUUCUUGGAUUAAUUGAAGACUAACUACUGCGAAAGCAUUUGCCAAGGAUAUUUUCAUUAAUCAAGAACGAAAGUUAGGGGAUCGAAGACGAUUAGGUACGUCGUAGUCUUAACCAUAAACUAUGCCGACUAGGAAUCAGACAACGUUAAAUUUUUAAUGACUUGUUUGGCACCUUACG
rnacentral:rRNA from 1 species